GCAGUGGUGGCUCAGUGGUAGAACUUUUGCUUUCCCUGUGGGAGACCUGGGUUUGAUUCCUGGCCAAUGCA
rnacentral:tRNA from 1 species